UUCGCAGCGCCCCCAGUUACUCGCGGAGAGACUGGGGCUCACAGAGGCACUCUGGCUCAGCCGAACGAUGGAGAUCAGAACGCCAGAGUGCGUGCGCGAUGGAGGGACUUGAACCCCCAAAUCUGGGGCCCCGGGGGGCGAUGGUCUCGAAAAGAGUGUGAUGCCGAGAUUUGACUGUAGAGGGUUGGGAACCUUCCAGGUUCUCUAAAGCGCUCACUUCACGGUGCUCUGCUCAUCUCCGACGGGGGUUAGUGGCAUCUGCCUCCGAGUGGCUCGUGGAUCCCUUUCUCCUUCCGACUCUAGGCUUGGCUCUGCAGCCCUGUGCCCGGCUGCUCCGGCUCUGAGCGCCUCCCAGGUCCGGGCCGCGAUCCUGUGUCUCCCCUCUCAGAGCAGUGUGGCCCUGGGGGCAUCCUCAGGUUUCUCCCGCAAGUGUCUGGUCGCCUGUGUUGCCGUUCUUGGGUCCAGAGGUCCCUAGCCCGAGUUCCUCCAGCUCUGCCUCCUUAACUCCCUGACCUUGCCUAGGAGGAAGAAGAGAUGACCACUUCCCAGGCAAGAAACCUUACGACUGUGCUGUGUGUGGGAAGAGCUUCAGUCGGAGCACAGAUCUUCGCUAUCAUCAGAGAAUUCACACUGGAG